GAGGGCGCCGUGAGUGGGAAGGGUGUGUUUGAAUAGAAGUAAAAGUUGUUUUCUAUAUAACCUUGUGUGUCCGGAGCGUCUCCAGGCUAACUAGGGAAGCUGCCGCCCUGUCGCGGGGUGAAUCAUUGCUGUGACACUGCAAAUGGGGAAGAAGGGCUGCCAGCGGCCUCGCAGCCUCGCCUUACUUUCUUGUGGAGACCGACCGGUCCAGGGAACGGAGGCCACGGCUGCUGACCCUUGAGAAGUUUCCAUGCCAGCUAGAAGAGCUCAUGCUAGCAGCGCGUCGAUUGAUGACCAACGUCUGAAUCUUCAGCUAUGUUGGGCACACUCGGGCUCUGCACACUCGGGCUCUGGUGGGUUUGGGGAUUUUCCCUGCGGGCACUGAAGACCCAAGAAGCCCGCGUUUGUACCGCUAUCUGCAAAAGAGCCAGAGGAGAAGAUGGUGGAAGGGUCUCUCUCCACUCUUGGCUUUGACGGAGCAAAAUCCCAAAUAAAAGCAUCAGAGGCAGGACUAUGACGGAGAGAAAACCCGCCAGGAAGGUCAGUCAUGAGCCACUGUGAACCUCUCAGAAGAUGCUCUGCUGUUCUGUGAGCUGAGCCGUGAUGCACAAGGAACACAUCUAGGAGUCCGCGCUCCAAAAACAUUUCAAAGUUGUGAAUUUUACAUCGACCCAGGUGACUUCAUAGCUCAGUUUUUUAAAGUUCAUUCUGAAUUUCUACAAAACUACAGAAGUUAAGACAGCAUGGUGCUGGCAAUAGACAGGCAUAUGUAUUGAGGGAACAGAACUGAUAGUGCAAAAAUAAACACUCAUGGUUAAUUUA